rnacentral:rRNA from 1 species
GAUGCGAUCAUACCAGCACUAAAGCACCGGAUCCCAUCAGAACUCCGUAGUUAAGCCUGCUUGGGCGAGAGUAGCACUAGGAUGGGUGACCUCCUGGGAAGUCCUCGUGUUGCAUUCC